UGAAAGGCUGCUUGUCAUAAGGGCCAUUUCGGCCUAUCAGGCCUGCUGCUCUAGGGUUUACACUGAGACCUUCAAAUGGAACAACAACAACAAAAGAAAGAAAAAAGAGGUGCGGAGGUCAAAGGGAGCAUCAGAAAUGGAGAGUAUCUGCAAGCCAGGCCACUUGUGUAUGGGGAAAGUGGCAUUCCUAUGGGCUAACUAUGCCAGGAUCUACGUAUGUAAUACAUACAACAGAAAGAACUCAAAGUACUCCUAGUAUUUUAGAGAGACACACAGAAGACCAUCAGACAGACAGAGCAGCAGAAAGGUAGGAAUGGAUAGGGGACAUGGACCAGGCAGAGAAGACUGGAGGGAGCGAAAGAGAAAGACUGUUAGUGGAAAGUCAGAAAUGGGCAAGAAGUGGUCUGAGCAAGCUACCUAUGACCGGAUAGGAACUAAUGUCUACAGCACAGACUCAAGACAGACGGAAUCAGAUGCUAUCACUGAUCCACGCACAAACUUCUCUUCAUUUCAAGGAUACUGUGUAGUCUCCUGCAUAUGCAGAGAAAGAGGACUUUUGAAUUCAGUAUAUAGAAGUGAAGUUCCAGCACCAUAAUGAACCAUUUCUUAACACUUAGUCAAAUUGUCCCUAGUAUUUUAUAUCUAUAAACAGUUCUCUUUUUCUGCAUUUACACUGUGCUCAUCAUCACUGUGAUAUCUGAGAACCUAAUCAAGAUUUUAAUCAUACUUAAUACUCAAACUCCUGCAAGUAGUUAAUUCAGUAAUGUUUGUGCAGCCCAUUAAACAUGUAAAACACUGUAUAAUUGAUAGGUUUGUAUUAUUAUGGGGAAGUAAAUAAAUGGGGGGGAACUGAGGCAGUGAGGUGAAGUGAUUUUUCCCAAGACUACACUGCAAGCCAACUGGAGAGAUGAGAGUCAGGAAUUCCUCACUCAGCUAGGAGCUCAUUCCUUUAGACCUCAUAUUAUGGGUCUGACUCAAAACUCACUGAAGUAAAUGGGAGUGUUUCCACAGCCUCCAACUGACUUUGGAUCAGGCCCUGCAAACAAAGGUCAAGACAACAAUUGCAAGUGGCUGAAAGAAUCACACAGUCUAAGGGAGAAGUAUGAUUUGUCUGUGAAUCAUAAAUUCUGCCCUAACUCCAGUACUCUGGAAGAGAAUCCAUUUAUAAAUAUCCAGCUAUAAAUAUCAACUAUAGCUACUAUUCUUAACACCAGAAUCCUGGCCAUGUAGUCAGGGCAUUUAUGGGAGGAAUAGUUUGCAUCUACACCUCUAUCCCGAUAUAAUGCAGUCCUCAGGAGACAA